rnacentral:rRNA from 1 species
UACGGAGGAUGCAAGCGUUAUCCGGAAUUAUUGGGCGUAAAGAGCGCGCAGGUGGUUGAUUAAGUCUGAUGUGAAAGCCCACGGCUUAACCGUGGAGGGUCAUUGGAAACUGGUCGACUUGAGUGCAGAAGGGGGAAGUGGAAUUCCAUGUGUAGCGGUGAAAUGCGUAGAGAUAUGGAGGAACACCAGUGGCGAAGGCGGCUUCCUGGUCUGUAACUGACACUGAGGCGCGAAAGCGUGGGGAGCAAACAGGAUUAGAUA